UUUUCCCUGCCCUGUUCGUGAUUCGCAACAGUCCUUGAACCGUAAUUAAACCAGUUCUGGAAUGAGUAAGAUUGUGGCCGGCACGCCUUUAAUGGAAGCCGAAAGCAGACGCGCAAGUUCCACAUGUAGCAAUACAUGUUCUAAGGAUCGAGUUCGACACGGCAAUGGCGGGGGUUUU
rnacentral:other from 1 species